UUUAAUUUUGUUCUAGUUGCAACAAGUAUACUUCUUUAUUAGUUCGUGGGCGACACCUGGCUAGCGAGAUAGAGUGAUGCAAUCGUUUGGACUCGUACAAGACGCAAUGUGUUUUAUUCUUCAGCGGUUAUAUAUGGUCAUACAAUGCAGACUUUUAUGCCAUAUGCAUGUUUGAAUUUCAGUUAACUGAAUAGUUGCGAAGCGUCACUUAAGCGACGUCAAGUAGUCGCAACUUUUCAAUAAUCUUAUUGAAUAUAAUAUAUGACAAUUCCAGGUUACCUUCAAAUUCAAUCGAAUAAGGUAUAUUUGCCCCUCUUUGAAUUUUAGGCUUUGGUUUACUUGAAGUCCUUGAAUUGUCCUUCAGUUUUGGGCCUAAUGUUCUAUACGAACACUGGUUAGUCUACUGUUUCUGCAGUGGUCAUACUGGGAGCCUUGGUGGCGCAGAGGGGCUGGUGUGACCAGAUAACGCUUGCUGCAGUACCGUGCGUACAGUACGGAUCAUAAUAAGAGGGAAUGUCUAAUUAGUGUUAGAGCCAUUAUUGCUACUAAAAUAACAAGGAGGCCUACAAAUCGGUCUUUUUUAUGGAUGGCUACCCGUCAUACAUAAAUGCUCUCUUCUUUCUUUAAGUAAGAGGAAUGAGAGCUAGAACAUAAUUUCCAGUGGAACAUUAAUUUUGUAACGCGAGUCUGGCCCAUGCUGUAUGUGGAAGGCAAUUUCCCGCUAAAGGGAAAAAUUCAGUUAACCGAAAUUGAUGACCCGGCGUCCUGCUAUAACAAAGGCGCCAUUGUUGCCGAAAAUAACGCUUCUUUAAGCGAGGAAAAUUAUUGAAAGGGGCAGAGAAAAAAUGCAAGAAAUUUGAUUUCCCGUAUGUAAUCAUAUGAAAGUCUAGGUGAAAUGUUGUGAUAGAUUGUCAAUAAGUUUAUCGAGUUAAUUUCGCUGCUUAUGAACGCAUCAACGUUGGUGCAGGUGAUUUAUUUUAUUGCAUUAAUCGUAGACAACGUUCUCAUACCGCACCAUCGGCGCUGAAGUGACGGAGAGGGUGAUUUUUUUUAUUUUUUAUUUUUUGCUUCCCGCAGGUUUCGACCUCGGCAAGGGUGGUGCGUGGCGCAAAAGAUGACUAUAGAUUACUUGCGUUGAGGCGCUGCAUUCCAUGCCAUGCCUCUGUCUGUUCUCUGGGGUGGUUCAGACUAAAGCCUAAUGUCUAAGUUGGUGGCGGUCUGUCUUGAGUUGAAAUUUUUGCUACGGCGAUGUAAUCUCUUGUUGAAGGACAAACAUGCACUGACACACCAUGAAGGUAGAUAUUUAGGCUUCAUAUUUGCGGUCCCUCUACGCUGAAACCACGAGCGAUUCUCUAUACCAACGUGUGGUUGUGAACAAAUAAACGUAACAGACGAUGUCAUGCUCGUCCACAAUUUCCUAAACGUUUAAUACAGAUGGUUAGUGCAGAGGCUAUGCGAUGAGAAAAAUAAGAAAAACAACAGGAAGCGUAUUGGUCCAAUAACUCGAAUGGAAGUCGUGUCUAUUAUUGGGAGCCUCGAUGAGCUUCCUAUGACCGAAAGAGGAAGAAGGGCGGGAAGCAGGCGACGACGCCGUAGGGUAUAGGGGGGGCGUCACUUGUCCCCUAACGGGGGUCUUGUCCCCUGAGAAGAAACUUAUGGUCACUUGUCCCUUUCUCUCCGUAAGGAUAAGGCCGCAUAUGGCUUCCAGGACACACGACAGUGUGUCUUGACAGUGUGCCAAUGAGGAACGCGGCAGCGUGAAUGCUCGUGUACCUGCAAACUGAAAGCACACCGUCGAGAGCCACAGCAUGCCUGGCAGCCUCUACAGCAGUGUGACGUUUCCAAUGGGUGGACAGUGAGGCUAGUUUCGGUAUUGGCAAAAAAAUAAAUAAAUAAGCGUCGCCAUGACAGUGAUAGCCAAAAGAAGAAUCAUGAACUUUUGCAUAUGUCGCUCUGUCUUUUCAACCUACAUAGCAAUAAAGUAAAGUGUACAAUUAUAUGUAGAAAUAAAAUGUGCUUUUGGCUAUUUUCUUUUUCAGCGUCACAUAUAUUCGUUUACUCGGUUAUUAGUUGCGCCAAUGGGCGGCGCUCUCGCUGUUAUCGCUUCGGCUUCGGCUAUGGCUUCGGCUGCCAGUCUAUUCUUCUGCUCCUGCCGCAUUGUUUGCACGUGCACGGUUUGUUUUCUUUCUUUCAUGUGCUCCGCACUUAACAACUUGCUUUCUGUGCCCCUGAACGUUCCGGCAAUGCCGGAAAAACUGAGGAAUUGGCAGAAAAGCGUGCUGCGCCGCUGUGUGAUGCGGCGUCUCUGGGAGGAACAGCAGGGUGAAACUUUUCCGUUUUCCAGCGGACGAGAGAUGCCGAAAUGUGGGCCGUUCGACAAGCGUAUCGGCUCUUGCGAGGCCUGGGCUUCGAGCCCUAUGGGAUCAGGGCUGGAUCGGCAGCAGCCUGGUACCACCGCCGAUUCCACCGACAUGUCGUACGCGGCAGCAUGUUCUCAAUGCUUAAGCGGUGGGGCCAGACAAGGAUACCAUUUUGGACUGAAGUUUCAAUAAUGUUCAUGGCUGCUGAAAUGACAGACAUUCUAUUCAAAAUCACAGUGGUCAUUCUCGGUGCCGCUGUUGACGGAUGACCUUGUUCAAUGAUGUGUCAGAAUCUGUAUGUAAUUUUUCUAAAAAAAAACCUAACUAGUUAUAGUCGUUUCGUGUCUGUAAUAAAGCGGUAAAUUACAAUAA